UAGGGAAUUUUGGGCAAUGGGCGCAAGCCUGAUCCAGCCAUGCCGCGUGAGGGAAGAAGGCCUUCGGGUUGUAAACCUCUUUCGGGCGGGACGAAACGGGGCGCACGAAUAGUGCGUCUUACUGACGGUACCGCAAGAAGAAGCACCGGCUAACUACGUGCCAGCAGCCGCGGUAAUACGUAGGGUGCGAGCGUUAAUCGGAAUUACUGGGCGUAAAGCGUGCGCAGGUGGCUGUGCAAGCCAGGCGUGAAAUCCCCGGGCUCAACCUGGGAAUGGCGCUUGGGACUGCACGGCUAGAGUGCGGCAGAGGGAGCUGGAAUUCCUGGUGUAGCAGUGAAAUGCGUAGAGAUCAGGAGGAACACCGAUGGCGAAGGCAGGCUCCUGGGCCAGCACUGACACUCAUGCACGAAAGCGUGGGGAGCAAACAGGAUUAGAUACCCCCGUAGUCCCUGAGCGGGCUGGCAAGGCGCAU
rnacentral:rRNA from 1 species